AGAACGAACGCUGGCGGCGUGCCUAACACNUGCAAGUCGUACGUGAAAUCCACCUUCGGGCGGAGAGUAAAGUGGCGCACGGGUGAGUAACGCGUGGGUAAUCUACCCAUGGAUUCGGGAUAACCAACCGAAAGGUUGGCUAAUACCGGAUAAUGUCCUGAUACAUAAGUACCGGGACCAAAGGAGGCUUUUGCUUCCGUCUUUGGAUGAGCCCGCGUACCAUUAGCUAGUUGGUAGGGUAAAGGCCUACCAAGGCUACGAUGGUUAGCUGGUCUGAGAGGACGAUCAGCCACACUGGAACUGAGACACGGUCCAGACUCCUACGGGAGGCAGCAGUGGGGAAUAUUGCGCAAUGGGGGAAACCCUGACGCAGCGACGCCGCGUGAGCGAUGAAGGCCUUCGGGUCGUAAAGCUCUGUCAGGUGGGAAGAACCCUCCGUCGAUGAAUAAUCGACGGAGCUGACGGUACCACCAGAGGAAGCACCGGCUAACUCCGUGCCAGCAGCCGCGGUAACACGGAGGGUGCAAGCGUUGUUCGGAAUCACUGGGCGUAAAGGGCGCGCAGGCGGUCCGGUCAGUCGGAAGUGAAAUCCGUCGGCUCAACCGACGAACGGCUUCCGAUACUACCGGACUUGAGUACGGGAGAGGAAAGCGGAAUUCCCAGUGUAGAGGUGAAAUUCGUAGAUAUUGGGAAGAACACCGGUGGCGAAGGCGGCUUUCUGGACCGAUACUGACGCUGAGGCGCGAAAGCGUGGGGAGCAAACAGGAUUAGAUACCCUGGUAGUCCACGCCGUAAACGGUGAGUACUAGGUGUAGGGGGUACCGACCCCCCCUGUGCCGACGCUAACGCAUUAAGUACUCCGCCUGGGGACUACGGCCGCAAGGCUAAAACUUAAAGGAAUUGACGG
rnacentral:rRNA from 1 species